UUAGGAAUAUUCGUCAAUGGGGGAAACCCUGAACGAGCAAUGCCGCGUGAGUGAUGAAGGUCUUUAUGAUUGUAAAACUCUGUUGUUAGGGAAGAAACCCCACCAUAGGUAAUGAUGGUGGGUUGACGGUACCUUUCCAGAAAGCCCCGACUAACUACGUG
rnacentral:rRNA from 1 species